UCCCCCCUUCUCCGACGUUCUCCCCUUCGCCCAUCCUUCUGCAUUUUCCCCUCCACCAAUCUCACCUGAGUCUUCUAUGUCUGCCAUCGUCUAGGGCUGUCUAGGAAAACGACUGACCGGAAGCAAGAUCGGUCUAGCAGUUUGUUUUCUUCAUCUUCUUUCCCUCUACCGCCGAUGAAAACUACCAUCUCUCUCUAUUUCAUUUCCCAGCUAUCAAAGCCUUAUAACCGUGUAACUAAAGUGUAGCAGUCAACAAUAGCAGAUAGGAGUGGACGGGCAGGGGCCAGUUGGAUGUAGGAAGGGCAUGGCAAUGAAUGGACUAUAGCCAUUGGAUGUUGUAACUCAAAUGUAGCAGUCAACAAUAGCUGUGUGGACUCAAGUGUAGCAGUCAUUAAAUACAAGUGUAACUCUUUUAAAUUAAUUGUAACUCAAGUGUAACUCUUUUAAAUUCACACUUGUAAUUGCACACUUCUUAAAUUUAUUGGUCCUGCAUUAUUUUGUCUA